UACAGAGGGUGCAAGCGUUAAUCGGAAUUACUGGGCGUAAAGAGCUCGUAGGUGGUUUGUCGCGUUGUUCGUGAAAACUCACAGCUCAACUGUGGGCGUGCGGGCGAUACGGGCAGACUAGAGUACUGCAGGGGAGACUGGAAUUCCUGGUGUAGCGGUGGAAUGCGCAGAUAUCAGGAGGAACACCGGUGGCGAAGGCGGGUCUCUGGGCAGUAACUGACGCUGAGGAGCGAAAGCGUGGGGAGCGAACAGG
rnacentral:rRNA from 1 species